UAAAAAUCUGUUUUCAUUUGUAACAGGACACAAUUGGAGAAACUGGUUAUUUUACCAAGGCUUUGACUGGAAUAGUGUACUUUCCUUUAAGGAAUCAACUUGGCUUAUGGAGGAAAUAAAGCCCGUGGCAAAACUGGCCUCAUAUUUUGUGUACGCAGUGCCUGUACAAGGUUUCUGACCUGUGAGUUCCAAGAGCUUCCAGGAUGCUCAACACAUCCACGUGCCAGGAGGGCGGUGUACCCCAACUCCAUGGAGACAGAAGCUCCUGUGCUCAGGACCCUUCCCACCUCACCCUAGGCACCUCUCCAUCUGGCUGUACAUCUGAAUCCUUUCUACAAAACCAGGAGACAGCACCAUCUUGAAAAUAUGACGGACAACCUGAAGUGAUUCAGACUUGUGUAUUUGGCAGACAUUUUCUGAAAAAUGAACAAAGUGAGCCUGUCACUUCAAGGGAAACAACUGAUGCUAUUUGUUGCCAAUGAUAAAAUUUGAGCUUUCAAAUGAAAGUGAGAAUUCUGGAAAACUUGUAUCUGCCAUUAUGAGUUUAAUAGCUUCUCUGUAUCUUUGGAUAAGAUUGACAUUAAUGAAUGUGAUCUUUUUUAUCUUGUAUAAUGAAAUGUGUCAACAGUUGGAAGAUCUGCAUAACUUAGUGAAUCAGUGUUUUCCAAAUGACCAGUACAUCAUGUUACAAAAUAAUGCAUAAGUAAAAGAUCCAUUCAAAUUGCAAGAUGGGCCAAUGGGUAUUAAUGUAACAGAUAUGAAAAGUUUGUUGAUAUGAUUUCAUGUUCUACAUUGCAACUAAACUUUAAGAAAUUACAACUGUUAAAUUUGGUGUUAUAUCAAAGAAUAAUCCACAAUGAUCUGAAAAGGCUAUUAAAAUACUCCUAUGGUUUUCAACUAUAAAUCUACAUAAGGCCAAAUUUUCUUCAUAUACUUCAACCAAAGCAUCAUAUCACAACAGACUGAAUGCAGAAGCAGGUGCAAGAAUCCAACGGUCUUUGGUUUAGCCAGACACUAAAGAGAUUUGUAAAAUUGUUGGAUUAAUUUUUCCUUUUUCUUUGAGACAGCGUCUCUGUCCGUCACCCAGGCUGGAGUGCAAUGGCGUGAUCUCAGCUCACUGUAACCACUGACUCCCGGGUUAGAGU
rnacentral:lncRNA from 10 species